GACUCCAAAAAUCAAAUAUGGUAAGAAAAUCAACCAAAACCUAGCAAAAUCCUGCUAAAGGAUUUGUUGAGAAAGUGAAUAUUUGUUUAAAAGAGAGGCUGGAAAUGCGGUUUUCAAGAAAACAAGAAUUGAUCCUUGUGUGAUGUUUCAAAGUAUUUCUCUUGUUUAACCUCUAUGAAUUAAGAAGAAUUAGCGGUUGAGUAAUUUUCAACUCUUAUUCUCAGAUCCUCAUUUUAUGACAUAAGCGGAUGAAAAGAUAUCCAAUUGGUGGUAAAGCUUUUUUCACUGCUCGCAAAACUAUUGAAUUAGUUAAACGAUCGAAAAAAGAUGAGGUCAAUUUUCUAUGAAUGAAAGAAGGACAAAAUGUUAAUGAAAACUCUCCAAGCUGUGCUUGCAAGAAACAGAGGAAAUAAACUGGAAGAGCUUAAGAUGUUGGAGAAUGUUCAUUCCAAAAAGCAACGGGCAGCAAUGGCUUGUCGACCUUUCCUCCUGUUAGUUUUCCUUUUCCUUCUAUGAUGUGAGCUCUUCAAGUGGACGAAAAGAUACAAGGUCUGCUUAUCAUUUUCCAAAUGGUGUUAACGCUUCUUUUUUACCAAUAUUAAAGAUGAAUAGUCUGUGAAACCAUCAACGAAAGAUGAUAUAGAUUUCUUGGAUAGCAUUGUACAGAUCAAAGAAGCAGAGACACGAAUGAUUCAGAGUCUUGCAAAUGAUGCACUAGGAGAGGUAGGGAGUUUGAAGCGCCUGGCUAGGCGGAAGAGAUAGACACUUGAGAAAAAGUAUUCUGAAUGACCCUCCAAACUGUGCUUACUAGAAACUGAGAAAAGGAGUUGAAAGAGCUCAAGAGGUUGGGGAAUAUAUAUUGCGAUUACAGCGAAUGAAAAUGCAAUUGCAUAGGGAAAUUUCAGGCUUGUUAAGUAGAAAGGAAGCAGCAAACAACUACUGUUCGGUACUUGCAUCGCAAUGGAAGAAUUCUCCAAGUUGUUGAAAAAAAACUCAGGGAUGAUUACAUCAAAGACGAAGAAAAGACAUUGUUGUUGCAGCCAUGCGCCAUUGUUAUGAAUGGCUUAAAACACAAACUAUAUCAAUGUCUCAGUUUCACCAUUUACAUCAAGCUUGUUUAGAGAUUAUUAUUUUUAUUUUAUUCAAGUAUUUUUUCAUAUUUA